rnacentral:rRNA from 1 species
AGAGUUUGAUCCUGGCUCAGGAUGAACGCUAGCGGCAGGCUUAACACAUGCAAGUCGAGGGGCAGCGGGGAGUAGCAAUACUCUGCCGGCGACCGGCGAAAGGGUGCGUAACGCGUGAGCGACAUACCCGUGACUGGGGCAUAACCGAUGGAAACGUUGACUAAUUCCCCAUAACACAUCGUGCUGCAUGGCAUGGUGUUGAAAAUUUCGAUGGUCACGGAUUGGCUCGCGUCUGAUUAGCUAGUUGGUGGGGUAACGGCUCACCAAGGCGACGAUCAGAAGGGGUUCUGAGAGGAAGGUCCCCCACAAUGGAACUGAGACACGGUCCAUACUCCUACGGGAGGCAGCAGUGAGGAAUAUUGGUCAAUGGGCGGAAGCCUGAACCAGCCAUGCCGCGUGCAGGAUGACGGCCCUAUGGGUUGUAAACUGCUUUUGCUGUGGAGCAAUAAGGGUCACGCGCUGACCCGAUGAGAGUACACAGCGAAUAAGCAUCGGCUAACUCCGUGCCAGCAGCCGCGGUAAUAC